GAUGAAGAACGCAGCGAAAUGCGAUAAGUAAUGUGAAUUGCAGAAUUCCGUGAAUCAUCGAAUCUUUGAACGCACAUUGCGCCCGCCAGUAUUCUGGCGGGCAUGCCUGUUCGAGCGUCAUUUCAACCAUCAAGCCCCCGGCUUGUGUUGGGGACCUGCGGCUGCCGCAGGCCCUGAAAACCAGUGGCGGGCUCGCUAGUCACUCCGAGCGUAGUAAUACAUCUCGCUCAGGGCGUGCUGCGGGUUCCGGCCGUUAAAAGCCUUAUUUACCCAAGGUUGACCUCGGAUCAGGUAGGAAGACCCGCUGAACUUAAGCAUAUCAAUAAGCGGAGGA
rnacentral:misc_RNA from 1 species